GACGAACGCUGGCGGCGUGCUUAACACAUGCAAGUCGAACGGAAAGGCCAUGAUUUUGUGGGGUGCUCGAGAGGCGAACGGGGGUGAAACACGUGAGUAACCUGUACUUGACUUAGGGGUAACUUCUGGAAACUGGGGCUAAUAUCGGAGAGGAGAUCCUGCUGCGUGUGGUGGGUUGGAAAGUUUCGGCGGUUGGGGCUGGACUCGCGGCUUAUGCGCUUGAUGGGGGGGUAGGUGCUUACCAAGGCUAUGACGGGUAGGCGGCCUGAGAGCGUGACCGGCCACAUUGCGACUGAGAUACGGACCAGACGCCUACGUGAGGCAGUAGUCGGGAGUAUUGCACAACGGGCCGAAGCCUGAUGUAGCAACGCUCCGUGCGUGAUGACGUCCUUCGGGUUGUAAACCGCUUUCGCAGUUGACGAAGCCUUCGUGACGGUACCGGGUCAAGAAGCCCCGGCUAACUACGUG
rnacentral:rRNA from 1 species